rnacentral:rRNA from 1 species
CCCUUAGAUGUUCUGGGCUGCACGCGCGCUACACUGACGCACGCAACAGGUGCCUGCUCCGAGAGGACUGGGUAAUCAUUUGAGUGUGCGUCGUGAUGGGGAUAGAAUAUUGUAAUUAUUACUCUUCAACGAGGAAUUCCUAGUAAGCGUCAGUCAGCAGCUUGCGCUGAUUACGUCCCUGCCCUUUGUACACACCGCCCGUCGCUCCUACCGAUGGGUGAUCCGGUGAAUGAUUCGGACUUCAGCGGCUCCCCUGGGGUGCGCCGGAGAAAGUUUUGUGAACCUUAUCACUUGGAGGAAGGAGAAGUCGUAACG